GCUAUAAUUAGUGCAUAUUUGAAUCAGCCAUUCUUUGGCAUUCUGGCGACUUGACUCCUCUGGAAGAGAUAAUGAGGUUUGGCUAGAUACUUGGGGCUUUUUCAUCCAUUCUUCUUGAGUUGCCCUUGGCACAAAUGGCACAAGAUUUACAGUAACUGUUGGUCAGAGAGGCAAUUCCUGGUACUUCAGAGUAUUUAUUGAUCAAAAGAGUUCAUGAGGGUUCUGGACAGAUGCUCCGUAGGCCCACUUGACCACUGCUGAGUAUAUGUUCUUGGGCAAGUAUAACUUGAGAUUGUUGAAGUACAGCCUGUCUUUAAGAGUUGCCCCUUUCUGUUUCCAGCUUGUGGUUUGUUUGUUUUUUCUUUCUUUCCAGGGUCAGUAGCUUGCUUGUUAUUCCUUCGGGAGCUUGAUGUCUGUGGGUAGGAUCUUACAUGGUGAAUAUGGGAGUUUCUUCAGCAGACACUUUUC
rnacentral:lncRNA from 1 species